GGCUCAGAUUGAACGCUGGCGGCAUGCCUUACACAUGCAAGUCGAACGGCAGCACGGACUUCGGUCUGGGUGGCGAGUGGCGAACGGGUGAGUAAUGUAUCGGAACGUACCUUUCAGUGGGGGAUAACGUAGCGAAAGUUACGCUAAUACCGCAUAUUCUGUGAGCAGGAAAGCAGGGGAUCGCAAGACCUUGCGCUGAUUGAGCGGCCGAUAUCAGAUUAGCUAGUUGGUGAGGUAAAGGCUCACCAAGGCGACGAUCUGUAGCGGGGUCUGAGAGGAUGAUCCGCCACACUGGAACUGAGACACGGUCCAGACUCCUACGGGAGGCAGCAGUGGGGAAUUUUGGACAAUGGGGGCAACCCUGAUCCAGCCAUGCCGCGUGAGUGAAGAAGGCCUUCGGGUUGUAAAGCUCUUUCGGCCGGGAAGAAAUCGCAUGGGCUAAUACCCUGUGCGGAUGACGGUACCGGCAUAAGAAGCACCGGCUAACUACGUG
rnacentral:rRNA from 1 species